rnacentral:lncRNA from 1 species
UGUGGGCCCUGCUGGUCUCACGUAGACUCUCACACAGCUGCAUUAUGUUGAGAGCCUAACAGGAGAGGGACAUUAAAAUAGCCUCUCAUUCUUCAGGGUCUUAAUACACAUGGCAUCUAAUCAUUUGCUAGUCUAGCCCAAGUUUUUUAUGUGGCAGCUGGAUCCCAAGAGGGAGUAUUCCAAGAGGACAAGUCCUAAGUUACUGCUGAUCGAGCCUCUGCCUGCAUCAGGCUUGCAAAUGUCCAGUUGGCCAAAGCAAGUCACAUGGCCAAUCCCUGAGUCAGUGUGGGAGGAGAGCACAUAAGGACAGGAAUACUGGGAGGCAUGUCUCAUUGGGAACCACCAAAGCAACAGUCCAUUACAGGCCUUCCUUGGGCAAGUGAUUUGGACACUGAGCCUCAGUUUCCUCAUCCUACUAUGGAAGCAGUACCACCUACUUGGCAGCAUUGUUGUGAGGACCAAGUGAAUAGCAUGAUGUCUGACCAGAAUCAUUAGUAGAUAAGUAUUCACUGUUUUGAUUGUUAAACUACAGGCACCCUAAUGGCACAACUCUCAUUCAUUUAUGUGUACCCAGUGCCUAACAUGGGCCUUGUGCUGGACAUCGUUUGCUGGGUGGAUAAAAUGGAAUGAAGCAGACAAGCCCUAAGCCUAAGAGCUCAGCUAGAGCAAAGCUGCAGCAUUGAGAAGACACAGCAAGCUCUUACCUCCCAGUAGGUGACCAGCAGAACCAGGAAGCCACCUGUUAUUCAAGGGACUAUCAGUGACCACAUGAUGGUGGAAGCCAUAGAAAUGCAAGAUGAUCUGUGUUGCUGGCAAAGCCAAUGUGUGAGAAUGUGACAGGAAACAGGAGCUACAGAAGACACACAUCUUAAGAUGGUUGGUCUUGUUUGAAGAGGUAAGACUCACAUACCUGUAAGCCUUAAAAAAAAAAAAAGUACCUCUGAUUAGUUCAGCCUGUAGAAUCCUUCUAUCCAAAGAAAACCUUGAUGAGGACUUGAAAGAGAGUAGGCUUGAGAUAGGCAUUUCAGAUACGAGGAGCACCACAGGUCUGGAGGCAGGGCCAGGCCAAAAAAGGAGGCAAGUCUUAGGGCUGCAGAGGUUGCUGAUUUGGGGACACAAGAAUGCAAAGGAAAAUCUUCAACUGUUCUGUCAUGGUGCUCAUAGUACAGACCUGUGAUGAAAUUUGAACAACACUUCUGUUUUCCUUUUUCCUGCUGUCCUACCUCCCCCUGCCUUUAUUGCCCUCUUG